AGUGAACGCUGGCGGUAGGCCUAACACAUGCAAGUCGAACGGCAGCACAGUAAGAGCUUGCUCCUACGGGUGGCGAGUGGCGGACGGGUGAGGAAUACAUCGGAAUCUACUUUUUCGUGGGGGACAACGUAGGGAAACUUACGCUAAUACCGCAUACGACCUACGGGUGAAAGCAGGGGAUCUUCGGACCUUGCGCGAUUGAAUGAGCCGAUGUCGGAUUAGCUAGUUGGCGGGGUAAAGGCCCACCAAGGCGACGAUCCGUAGCUGGUCUGAGAGGAUGAUCAGCCACACUGGAACUGAGACACGGUCCAGACUCCUACGGGAGGCAGCAGUGGGGAAUAUUGGACAAUGGGCGCAAGCCUGAUCCAGCCAUACCGCGUGGGUGAAGAAGGCCUUCGGGUUGUAAAGCCCUUUUGUUGGGAAAGAAAAGCAGCAGGUUAAUACCCCGCUGUUCUGACGGUACCCAAAGAAUAAGCACCGGCUAACUUCGUG
rnacentral:rRNA from 1 species